rnacentral:rRNA from 1 species
GGGAAUUUUGGACAAUGGACGCAAGCCUGAUCCAGCCAUUCCGCGUGCAGGAUGAAGGCCCUCGGGUUGUAAACUGCUUUUGUACGGAACGAAAAGGUCUCUCUUAAUACGGGGGGCUCAUGACGGUACCGUAAGAAUAAGCACCGGCUAACUACGUGCCAGCAGCCGCGGUAAUACGUAGGGUGCAAGCGUUAAUCGGAAUUACUGGGCGUAAAGCGUGCGCAGGCGGUUAUAUAAGACAGAUGUGAAAUCCCCGGGCUCAACCUGGGAACUGCAUUUGUGACUGUAUAGCUAGAGUACGGUAGAGGGGGAUGGAAUUCCGCGUGUAGCAGUGAAAUGCGUAGAUAUGCGGAGGAACACCGAUGGCGAAGGCAAUCCCCUGGACCUGUACUGACGCUCAUGCACGAAAGCGUGGGGAGCAAACAGGAUUAGAUACCCUGGUAGUCCACGCCCUAAACGAUGUCAACUGGUUGUUGGGUCUUCACUGACUCAGUAACGAAGCUAACGCGUGAAGUUGACCGCCUGGGGAGUACGGCCGCUAGGUUG